UCACUGAACUUGGUGUUCCUCUUUCCCCUGU
rnacentral:piRNA from 1 species